rnacentral:lncRNA from 1 species
UCAUUCUUAACAGAGGUAAAUAUAGUUGGUGGCAUUCACCAUGUCAAUUUGGUAAAACUCAUUGGAUUUUGUGCCGAGAAAAGCCACAGGCUUCUAAUCUACGAGUACAUGAUAAAUGGAUCAUUGGAUAGGUGGAUUUCCCCUGAAAAGCAACAAAAUGAGCUUACAUGGCUUACAAGGCAAAAGAUAAUAUCAGAUAUUGCCAAAGGGUUAGCUUAUUUAUGAAAAGCAAGAAAAUGGGCUUACAUGGCUUACAAGGCAAAAGAUAAUAUCAGAUAUUGCCAAAGGGUUAGCGUAUCUACACGAGGAUUGCAGCCAGAAGAUAAUUCAUUUGGACAUCAAACCAC